ACGGAGGAAGAUAAGAGAACCCUGUUGACAAAAAAAUUGACCAACAAUUAAAGAAGACAUGCUCCACCUGUAAACCUCCACCUUCAACACCACCAGUAAGGUGGAGGUAGAGAAGAGAACCCUGUUGACGAAAAAAAUUGACCAACAAUUAAAGAAGACGACCUGCUCCAACUGCUGAUCUACUGGUUGUAACAGAUUGUGGAAAAGCAUCACCAGCAGCACUGGACCAAUCAGGAGAGAGAAGACACAGAGGACUGAAGGGACUCAGAAAAUCCUGCUGGAAAUCCCAAGAUGAAGUUUCCUGAUGCAACAGGGGGACACCUGAGGACACAGAAUAAAGAAGGACCAUGUGAAGCAGGUCCUUCAAUAACAAACCAAGCAUGAGUUGACCAACACUGACAGCAGGUUACUUUGUCCAUCUACUCAUCUACUGGUUGUAACAGAUGAUGGUGAAGGUUGAGGAGAUAAUGACUUGAUCAGAAACUGUGGCCGACAACUGCAAACGCGCAGCAAACAGCAAAACGAGCUGCAAACAGACUCAUGAAGAGGACGGUCAGAGUCGUCCAUAGCUUUCUUGACUCUUCUGAAGAAUCUUUCUUUGCGUCAUCUCCAGAGAUUCCACAGUCAUCUCCAGAACAGAACCAGAACCAAUCCAGCCUUCUUUAUCAGAUUGUUGAGCCUUUUGAGGUUCCUGGCUCUGAUGCUGCUGCACCAACAGAUGAUAGCAGAAGAGAUGACACUCUCAGCAGCAGACUUAAAGAUCUGCAGCAACUUGCUGCAAACCUUGAAGGAUCUUAGCUUCCUGGAGAAGUGCAGUCUGCUCUGUCUCUUUUUGUAGACGGCUUGUCCAUGUGGUUCCUGUCUUCUGUUGCGUCUCCAGUCCAGUCUGUGUUCCAGAUGAACACCGAGGUAUUUAUAUUCCUGAACCACCUCCACAUCUUCUCCCAUGAUGGAAAUAGGGUUUCCUGUUUCUCCUGAAA